AAAAUGGCGACACGUGGUUAGCAUUCGUCGCCAACGAGAAAUUGGGGUCGGCCCGAAAGCUCUAGAAUGCACCCCUAUUCCUCCCCGGGGCCAUUCCCGCUCAACGAGUUUUAUGACCUAAAAAACCCCACAGGCUGGUCUGAAGAGGAAGACACUUAAAGAUGAAGUGCUUAAUUCAAGGUCACAGAAUGUCGGGGAUGGACCUCCAGAUUUCCUUACUGACCUGCAUUAUCUUGUGGAUACCUGAGUGAAUUCCACACCACCCAUUUUAUAGAUGAAGCCACUGAGACGUGGAGCAACUGACUGAGUAGUCACUGCCCCACCCCUGCCUGGAGCCUCACACAUGACUUCUCUUAGUGACCACAGGUUGGUUGAGGGGUUUAACAAGGCUAAGAAGAGACAGAGUCUUCUUGCUAUGUUGCCCAGGCUGGUCUUGAACUCCUAACCUCAAGCGAUCCUCCCAUCUUGGCCUCCCAGGUGUCAGGAUUACAGGCAUGUGCUAUCACACCCAACCUGAUACAUUGCCUUUAUAAAUUUUUUUUUCUUUAUUCUAAAAAACAGAAAAAACAAAACUG
rnacentral:antisense_RNA from 1 species